UGCUUGGGAAUCUGCCCAGUAGUGGGGGACAACACGGGGAAACGUCGUGCUAAUACCGCAUAUACCCUACGGGGGAAAGUGGAGGAUCUUCGGACUUCACGCUAUUGGAUGAGCCCAAGUCGGAUUAGCUUGUUGGUGGGGUAAUGGCCUACCAAGGCAACGAUCCGUAGCUGGUCUGAGAGGACGAUCAGCCACACUGGGACUGAGACACGGCCCAGACUCCUACGGGAGGCAGCAGUGGGGAAUAUUGGACAAUGGGGGCAACCCUGAUCCAGCAAUGCCGCGUGUGUGAAGAAGGCC
rnacentral:rRNA from 1 species